rnacentral:rRNA from 1 species
UACGUAGGGUGCGAGCGUUGUCCGGAAUUAUUGGGCGUAAAGGGCUCGUAGGCGGUUUGUCGCGUCGGGAGUGAAAUCCACUGGCUUAACUGGUGGCUUGCUUUCGAUACGGGCAGACUGGAGGUAUGCAGGGGAGAACGGAAUUCCAGGUGUAGCGGUGAAAUGCGUAGAUAUCUGGAGGAACACCGGUGGCGAAGGCGGCAUCCUGGACCAACACUGACGCUGAGGAGCGAAAGCCAGGGGAGCAAACGGG